rnacentral:misc_RNA from 1 species
UUCCUCAUUAAAUGAACAUUUUUUUUUCUCACAGCUCACGAUGGUGAUGGUAUUGUGAACUGGCAUUCUAAUGUAAGAGUGGAAUAGUGAUUUGGAAUUCUUUAUUUGAGAUAGAGCGAUUUGCACAUUUUGUUUAAAGUUUUGAAAGGCAAAAUUGCCCACAGAAGUUCUAUUUUUUGCAUGGGAGCCUGUUGGGAAUUCCUUUAACCCUGGAUAAUUUAAUGAAAAGAAGUUGCUGGUAAUUGGCUUUUUCUUUUUUGGAGAUCUG